rnacentral:rRNA from 1 species
UACGGAGGGUGCGAGCGUUGUCCGGAAUCACUGGGCGUAAAGGGUGCGUAGGUGGUGAGGUAAGUCGGAUGUGAAAUCUCCGAGCUCAACUCGGAAAUGGCAUUGGAAACUACCUUGCUCGGGUUGGAGGGGGGACUGGAAUGCUUGGUGUAGCAGUGAAAUGCGUAGAUAUCAAGCGGAACACCAGUGGCGAAGGCGAGUCCCUGGACAACUCCUGACACUGAGACACGAAGGCCAGGGGAGCAAACGGG